CCGCCGGGCUCUUGGCGCUGCCGUUGGCCGAUCGAUUCUUCCCCAGUAACUCGGGCCCUUUCUCCAUCAUGCCGGGCAUGGUAGAAGAGGGGAGGGGGAAAGCAGUAAAAAUUGAGGACUUCCUGUGAACAUCUAGUAUGCAAAUGAAUGAAGAGCAGUAUUUGUGGUCCAGAGCCAGCUGCCACAUUGUGAGAGGUACCCUACAGAAAAGUCCACAUGGCAAGGAACUGAGGGAUGCUUCUAGGCAACAGUCUGCAAAGAACUGAGGUCUUCAGUGCAAUAGCCCACAAGAAGCUAACUCCUGCUGACAACCAGGAUUUAAAAGUCACAAUUUCUACACCUUUGAGGGAAGAAAGGGACUCUUAAAUUUCCCAUUUCCCAGCCCCAAACACCUAAAAUUUAAGAAAAUGAAAUUUUUGAAGCAUUGAAUACUUUUCACCAGAACUAGUAACAUGGCUGAUUGAACACCAUCAACAUGCAACUUCUGAAAACUGUGAAGAUGAUGCCUGUUUCAGGUUUUUCCACCUUUCAGAGAUGACUUUAUUUCUUGGUCCAGCAGCUCUGGGAUCACGCAAACACCAGUGAAGACAGACGACUCCAAAGAAGGAAUAAGGAGUGAGAGGCCCCAAAGGCUGUGCUAAACCAAGACCUCGUCAGGGUACCACAGGGGUGUGUCAGGAGGGGCAGGGCACAGGCUCUGCUCAACUCAUUCUGCUCUACUCUGCUCCACACCUUGUAGAUGCUUUAAAAGAGCGUUUCUAGCACCCGGGCCCAAGGGUACUGCUUAGUGAGUAACCCUGUCAAAUGCCCAGGCGGUGUGAGCCAUUAGCACCGUUUGCCUCUGCUUUCCAGUGAGUGACCAGAGAUGUGACAGCAUGAAUUAGAAGGCAACCAAAUCUUAGUUCUCUUCUCUCUUUCUGGUGAAAAGCCCUAUGAACAAGGCCCUUGUCUGCAACAUCGCAGGGAUUCUUCUCAAACUGUCAUGUAAUUUCAAAAAUUAAUUUAAUCACCUUAAAUUAUAUUUCAUUUUUAUCUCAUUUUCAAGAAUCCUCUAACUUUCCUAUCCUUUCAUCUAACAUCUCAUAAACUUCUGAGUCCCCAUUUUCUAGGUAAAAUGAGCUUCCUGAGUUUCUCUAGGUGCCCAUCUCAGUGACUUACAAGUCCAGUCAGUUUGUGGAGACCAUGUUUGAAGCCUUCUUUGAUUCCCUGGUAUAGUGCAUGAACGAGAGAUGAUACUACCACAAAUAUUCCUGAAGAAAACUCUAAAUUAGAGAAGGGCAAUCCCCACACUGCAUAAGCCAUUUUGUUUUUCCAGAAGAUACCAUGAUAGAAUGUUGAACAGAACAAGCCCAGACUUGAAAUGAUGGAUCCAAAAUUAAUGGGGGUUAUCUGAACGUGGUUGAGUUUGAAAUCAUGUUUACUUUUUUGUUUGUUUGUUUUACUUUAUGUGUUUAAAUUUUUUGUCAUGCAUAUACUUCUUUAUACAAUCUAACAAUAACAGUAAAGAUAUUUUAUUGGGGAAUAAAGUAAUUUACUCAAGUGAAGGGUAUGUUAGGGAGAGGGAAGAGCAGUCUAAGCAGAGAAAUCCCUCCAGAGUCAGGCUAGUUUUACAAACAGCCAUGAACCCCUAAAUAACUUAAGUAAAAGUUUUCUGACUUUGUCAACAUUAUUUUGGUCAUUAUGCAAAACCACUGUGUUUCGUCAUGUAGUCAGUUAUAAUCUGAUAUAUUAUCAUCCUAAUUUAAUUUAAUAAUUAUUUCAUACUAUAUAAGAAAAGAAAUUAAAGUAAUGGUUCUCAAAAUCCUAGCUGAUCACUAAUCAACCAGAGUGCUUUUCAAAUGAUAUAAAUUUCAAAGUCCUACUACUGACUCAGGUCUGUGAGAUGAGGCUUAGAAAGCAUUUUCAUAAAGCUCACAGAUAAUUUUUAUGAUCACUCACAUUUGGAAACCCUGGUAUAAAGCCAGUCUUGUAGAUUUUGUCCAGCAUCCCCUCUCUCACACAGACAAUGAAAAUGAAAAGAAUUAAAUUAUGUGAUUGUCUGUGGGCCUUUCAGAUGUCCUGACCAUCCAGACUAGUUGUUUAUAUUACUCCCACAUCACUAGCACAAACAACAGUUGCCAUACCCUCCAUAUUGCUUGACUGUGUAGACUCAUACUAAUAGUAGCUGUGAGAUAUGUGCACUUGAUCCUAGGGUUAAUUUAUAUACUUGAUGGGAAGGCUGAUUCACUUUUUAAGUGAAAUUUAACAGUUCAACAGAAAUUCUUGAUUAGACUGACUUACAUGCAGAGGGUUUUCCAAUAGGGUUGAAAAACCUCCACAUAACUAGAAGUGCUCUUCCUUAAACUAAAACAAUACAAGUUUUUCCUCAGACACCCAGGUACUGGCUCAGUGAACCUGGAAGUACAUGCCUGAGAAAGGGUAUAGAAUAAUUCCUGAGGUUACAUUUUUAAACAUAAUUUGGUUCCUUUUAUGCUUUGUACUUAACGGGCAGGCUUUGCGGCUGCUUUACUCCCCAGGUGGGCAGACCUCAGGCCCAUUGGAAUAAGAGGAGAUAAGCUUAUUCUUAGCACUCUGGCUAAGAAAACAGAAAAAAUGAAAACAACCAAAACCCAGAUGCCCAGAAUUUGGGAGUCUAGGAGAAAUAGAAAAGAUUUAAAAUGUUUGGGUAUACAGGAAGGGAACUCUUUGAGAAAGUAAGUAGAAGAAAAUCAAGGAGGCUAUAGGUUUUCUGACAAGCUUGUCAAGUUUGUCUCAAUGUGGAGAGCAAAAUCAAAUUGACAGGCAAUUAACGAUUUGGACCCGUUUUCAAAAUUUCUCUGCAUUACAGCCAUAGAAACUUGGAAUUUGCAGAGAGGUAAAGUAAUUUUCUAAGGUAAAGUAAUUUUCCUCUCACAUUUCAUGCAGGUAAAUAUGCUGAGAAAAAUAAACCUAAACUAAAUGUACAAGAGUACAUAUUUCUUGUUCUCUUGCCUGUCUCAAGGGCUGGAAAAUUUCACCUCUCCCCCUUGCAUCUUAGACUUCUCACUUGCUUGAUUUUGGAUGGAGUCUCAUCUUUACAGUCCAGGCUGUAAAAGGUAAACACAAAGUCCUGUGGGGUACAAGGCAUCCCCAAUUGUAGCCACAAAUUUAACCAAUUUGUCCCUUGUGUCACUAAUUAGGAUUGCCAAGAAGAAAAUGCAGAACAAAUAAAAAUAUGAUUAGAAUUAUAAAUGAAAAUACAAGUCACCAAAUUCAGAAUUUAGUUCUGCUGAAAUGUGCUGACUCUGGUCUGGGGGAGUGCCAUCACACUGUGGCUAGUCCUAGGGAAUUCCAAAACGGCCCUUUCUCUCACUCAGUUUUUCCCUUCAUUAUUCUUCCCUGACAGCAUGCCGUUUACCACUGUAUUACAGGUCCUGGUGCCUGUAAAAAAACCAAAACCAAAACCAAACAAAACUUCCAGUUCUCCUAAAGAUAUUCCAUACAGUGCUCAAGGUAAACCACUGCCUUCCCUUCUCAAGAGGUACAAUUUAACCAAACGGCUAUUACUUUAGGUUGUUUUGAAGAAUAUUUUUUUAAACAUUUUUUUAAAGAUUUUAUGUAUUUAUUUGACAGAGAGAGAUCACAAGUAAGCAGAGAGGCAGGCAGAGAGAGAGGAAGGGAAGCAGGCUCCCUGCCAAGCAGAGAGCCCGAUGCGGGACUCGAUCCCAGGACCCUGAGAUCAUGACCUGAGCGGAAGGCAGCGGCGUAACCCACUGAGCCACCCAGGCGCCCCUGAAGAAUAUUUUUGUGGACCAGAUUUACUCAGUAGUUAUAUAAAACACAGGUACACAUUCCCUUCAAUCUGAACUGGUAAUGUGCUUUCAAAAACCUUAAAAUUUAUUUGAAAUACAGCUAAUAUAUAGCACUCAAAUUUAUUAUGUAGGUAUAAUUUGUUUUCAGAUGUAAUUGUUUGAUUUUAUUCCAGUAUCAGCCAAGGUUACCAUUGUUAAAUCAGUCCUGGAAAUAGAACAAGUCCAGUUAAAUAAUUUUUAAUAUUAAUUUUGGCCCUUGAUAAGAGAAGAAUUUUUUUUUCUAAAUAAAGGAAGAGAAGAUUGGUAAAUACCAUGUCAGUGAUUCUUAAAAUAUAUUAAUACAGCCUAUAAUCUGAGGAUUUGAAGGAGGAGACAGGGAAAAGCAGAAUAUAUAUAUUUUUUUAAUUAAAAAAAUUUUUUUUAAAUUUAUUUGACAGAGAGAGAGAGAGAGAGCCAGAGAGCGCAAGUGGGGAAAAAAGGGAAAUGGCAGAGAGAGAAGGAGAAGAAGGCUCCCCACUGAACAGGGAGCCUGGUGCAAGGCUCGAUCCUAGGACCCUGGGACCUGAGCUGAAGGCAGACACUUAACAGACUGAGCCACCCAGGCACCCAAGCAGAAUGUUUUAGGUGAAAACUUUCCCUCUCCUUCCAUGAUCAUUUUAACAAUAUUUUAAUCCAUAUUCUUAUUCCAACUUCCAAGAUAGUGACCCAGAAAGAGAUAAAAGAAGGAAAAGAAAGAUAUAGCCAAAGAACCAUUCUAGAUGUUUGACAGUUGUCUAAAAGUCCUAGGUUAUAAAGAUACAAAUGUAAUGAUCCAAAGGGCCACGUGCACCUGAGUGUUUGUAGCAGCAAUGUCCACAAUAGCCAAACUAUGGAAAGAACCUAGAUGUUCAUCAACAGAUGAAUGGAUAAAGAAGAUGUGGUGUAUAUAUACAAUGGAAUAUUAUGCAGCCAUCAAAAAACACAAAAUCUUGCCAUUUUUGCAACAACGUGGAUGGAACUAGAGGCUAUCAUGCUUAGCAAAAUAAGUAAAUCAGAGAAAGACAAUGAUAUGAUUUGUCUGAUACGAGAAAUUUGAGAGGCAGAGCUGUGGGGGGAGGCAUGUUGGGGGAAGGGAGGGAAAAAUGAAACAAGAUGGGACUGGGGAGGUUAACAAACCAUAAGAGAUUCUUGGUCUCAGGAAACAAACUGAGGAUUGUUGGGGCAGGGGAGGAGAGAUAGGGUGGCUGGGUCAUGGACAUUGGGGAGGGUAUGUGCUAUGGUGAGUGUUGUGAAUUAUAUAAGACUGAUGAUUCACAGACCAGUACCCCUGAAACAAAUAAUACAUUAUAUGUUUAAAAAAAAAAUAGUCCUGGGUUAGAGGUCAGCCUUCCUCUUACCAUUUUUCCUAAAUUCAAGUCUUCAAAUGCAUUUUGUUUCUCAAAUAAAUAAAGAAACAGAUUAAAUUUAGUAGUUUGCCUUAAGAGAAAUCCAAGAAGUUUAUUUUUUAAAUGCUUAAGACUUAACCAAAACUUUAUCAAAAGUAGUGGAGUGAUUAGUUGUUUUGAUUGCUUUAAGAGGACCAAUAAUCGUGUUAGGGAUUGAAUGUUUGUGUCCCUCCAAAGUAUCUGAUACGGUGAUAUUUGGAGGUGCAGUCUUUGGGAGGUAAUUAGGUUUAGAUGAGGUCAUGAGAGCAGGCCCUCAGGAUGGGAUUGGUGUCUUUAUAAAAAGAGGAAGAGAGAGUUCUUUUUCUCUCUGUCAUAUGAGUACACAGCAAGAAGACAGACAGACACCUAUAAGCCAGGAAGAGAGCUCUUGCUGGGAACUAAAUCUGCUAGCACCUUGAUCUUAGAAUUCCCAGCCUCCAGAACUGUGAGAAAUAAUGGGUUGUAGCUUAAGCCACCCAGUAUAUGGUAUUUUGCUAUAGCAACCUGAGCUGACUAAUAGAGAUAGAUUCAAAAGCAGUCGUAGUGGGAUGUCUAGGUAGCUCAGUCACUUACGUGAUUCUUGAUUUUUGGCUCAUGCUGUGGUCCCAGGGUCAUGAGACUGAGUCCCGUGUGUUUGGGCUCCCUGCUCAGCAUGGUGUCUCCUUGAGACUCUCUCCCUGUGCACCUCCCUCUCUAAAAUAAAUAAACAAAUCUUACAAAAAAAAGAGUAGUAGUAGUAGGAUGCACAGAACAAUCCGGAAAUUAAGUAAAGAGACAUGUAGAGCAUAACAGAAAUGAAGGAAAAAUGGGUAAAAGUUAAUCAUCUGGUCUUAGAACCAGACUUAAAAUGAACGUAUAGGACUUCUCCUUUCCAACCGAGUAACUGGUCUUGGGUUUCCUCUCCUACUACCUACUAUAAGGAUACCAGAUAAAAUAUGUUCUGAGAUUCUUCUUUAUUUUAGGUUUUUAGCAGUUUUAAACAUUAUUAAUUAGUUAAUUUUAGCAUACAGUGUUAAUGGUUUUUUAGCAUACAGUGUUAAUGGUUUUUAGCAGUUUGACCCUUGUGUGCUAACUAGCUGUGGUUUUCAUUGCAUUUAUCCUCUUUGGAGGUUUGUUGAGGUUAUUGAAUAUGCAAAUUAAUAAUUUCCACCAAGUUUGGGAAAUGUUCAGCCAUCAUUCAUCAAAUAUUUUUCCUGUCCCACACUCUCUUCUCUUAUUUUGGGACUCCAAUUACACUCUCUGACAGGUCUUUGAAAAUGCUUCAAUCUUUUUCUCAUUAUUCUUCAUAUUGAAUAAUUUUUUUUAAUCUCUUUAAAGUUCACUGAUUCUGUCUUCUACCAUAUCAAAUGUGAAGUUGGUCUACGUACUGAACUUUCCAUUUCUAUUAUUCUACUUUUCACCCUAGAAUUUGUAUUUGUUCUUUAUUAAAAAAUAUUUUCCACAUGUCUAUUGAGUUUCAUUAUCUGAGCAUUGAGACUACUGUUUCCAUUCUUUCAACACAUUUAUUUAUUUAUUUAUUUAUUUAUUUGACAGAGAUCACAAGUAGGCAGAAAAGCAGGCAGAGAGAGAGGAGGAAGCAGGCUCCCUGCUGAACAGAGAGCCCGAUGUGGGGCUCGAUCCCAGGACCCUGGGAUCAUGACCUGAGCGGAAGGCAGAGGCUUUAACCCACUGAGCCACCCAGGUGCCCUUCAACACAUUUUAAUUCUCUAUAAUAGCUGUAUUCCACAUUGGGCUCACUUGGAGUCACUACAUAUUGACUUCCUUUCUCUCUGAGUGUGUCAUGCUUUCCUGGUCUUUUUGUUUUUUGUUUUUUGGGUUUUUUUUUUGGUAUGGCUAGUAAUUUUUUUAUUGAAAACUGAAUAUUAUAGAUAAUACAUUGUAUCAACACUGGAUAUUCUUUUUUUUUUUUUUAAGAUUUAUUUAUUUAUUUUUGAGAGAGAGAGGGGGGGGGAGGGAGUGGGCACAAGCCAAGGGAAGGGCAGAGGGAGAGAAUCUCAGGCAGACUCUCCACUGAGUGCAGAGCCUGACAUGGAGCUCUGUCUCAUGACCUAUGAGAUCAUGACCUGGGCCAAAACCAAGUGCUGAAUGAUCAAUUGACACUGGUGAUGAAGUUUUAGAGUAUAGGUGAAGUUCAGUGGGGUGGAGUCUGGAACCAAUGACCAAGAAAGAAUUCUUGAGAUAUCUUUGGUGCAAAAUGGUGGUUUAUUAAAGCAUAGGGACAGAACCCCUGGGCAGAAAGAGCUACUGCCCCAGGGCUGUGAGGGGUGGCAGGUUAUGUAAGAUGGUAAUGGGGAAGGUAAGGAAAAAGGGAGGUUUCAAUAGAACUUUAAUAUGCUAAAGACCUACAGGAUACUGGAUACCAGAGGCCUUGCCAAUGUCAAGGUCAUUUCCCCCUUCUUAGCAAGGUAUUAACAUUAAGAUAGUUGGGAGAGUCCUAAAGAAUGUCACAUAUGUCCCACCCAGGAGUGGGGGUGGGGGAAGGUUGCAGGGUGUCAGUUUCUGCUUUGUCCUCAGCCAGUCUUCUGUUCCCUCAUCACUGGCACCCAACACUGGAUAUUUUUAUAUUCUUCUAAGAAUUGUUGGUUUGUAUUUUAAUAAGCAGCUAACUUGACUAAAACUGUUUAAAACAUUCCAUUGGUAUGUCCAAUGUGAUCAUAAGCUAGUGGCUGGUCAGGGAAAUGGGCAGAUUUAUACUCAGGUUUUGACACUUUUGUCCUUUUAAGAUUACAUUUCUAAAUUUCCAGCUGCUCCUUCAGUCUUGAACUCUAUUCCCUGUCACACUAAAUAAGUAAGACUUUAGUUUUUUGUUUCUGGAUAUCUGGAGUUUAGGAGAAUAUUUUAAGACAAAAGCAUCACAGACACAAUUCUUACCUAUUUCAGUUGUGGAUUUUCAAGUGGAAACUCUCUUUUGGUUUCUUCUGAAUACUUUUGAAUAGUUGUUUUUAAAAACAUUUUGUCCAGAUUUCAUAAUUGUUAUCUAUGAACAGAUUUGCUUGAAUACUUCAUCCUGUAAAUAUGGAAAACUGAACUUUCACUCUUAUUUUUGAAAUGUAUUUUUGCUGCAUUUAGAGUUCUGUGCUAAAAGCUUUUUCUUGUUUCUGUUUAGCUAUUUAAGAAGUAUUUGCUGUCUUUCUGGCCUCCAUUGUUUCUAAUGAGAAUUUAGUUAUCAUUGUUCCUCUGUAUGUAAGGUAUCUCUUUUUCUCCAGCUUGUGUGUGUGUGUACUUGUCUUUGUCAAACUUGGGGUUCACUAAGUUUCUUGAAUAAAUAUGUGCCUAAGUACAUUUUUCACAAAA